UAGCGGACGGGUGAGUAAUGUCUGGGAAACUGCCUGAUGGAGGGGGAUAACUACUGGAAACGGUAGCUAAUACCGCAUAACGUCGCAAGACCAAAGAGGGGGACCCUCGGGCCUCUUGCCAUCGGAUGUGCCCAGAUGGGAUUAGCUUGUUGGUGGGGUAACGGCUCACCAAGGCGACGAUCCCUAGCUGGUCUGAGAGGAUGACCAGCCACACUGGAACUGAGACACGGUCCAGACUCCUACGGGAGGCAGCAUG
rnacentral:rRNA from 1 species